GUUGCUCAUGUGAGAAAGGAGUUGAGGGAGAAGGAAAAGGUUUUCUUACAGGUGCCUUCUGACUUUGUGACAUUGUGAGAUCCCAGCAGGCACAAUAGCAUGGGACAUGAGGACCUUGCUGACUAUCAGAGGCAGGACAGUACCUGGUGCAAGGACAGACCCUGAAGCCAGAAACCAGCCCUCUAUCCCCACCUGGUAACUCUGUGACCACAAAGGCCCUGGAUCCACAGGCUUGGAAAUCUAAUGCCCAAGAGGGAAUGCUUUCAUCAGGUGACAUGGUGAUGGUUCUCUGAACUUCAACCUCGACUGGCCAACAUUCAGUAGAAAUCAGAGCAAAGGUGCCCAUUAGCCGAAUCCACACGGGUUAGCCUCCUGGAGCACUGAGCAGGGUGGAGAAACAAGGAAUGUCCAUCCUGGUCUCUAGGUGAAGAUUACGUGAAAAUGAUCUUCUAGCAACAUUCCCCGAAAUAAGGAGAUCAUGUGUUCAGGCAAUAAAAGUGCCAAACAAUGUUGCUGAAGGAAACUCUGUUUGUGUGCAAACUGCCUGCAAUUCUGCUUGAGAGAAUCCCAUUCCUGCAUCUGCAUGUGGACAAAACAGACUUAAAGACAGCAAGGAAGUUACACUACAGUGUUAACAAGAAGACUGAGAUUUCUGCCCCUCUCUGUAGUACCUGGUAUCUGUCCUACAUAGAGGAAAAAACACCCUCUUCCCAGAAGCUACUCUGAGCUCUCCCAAGUGUGAACUUUGUCUCUAACUUGGCAGAAUGUCAAUGGGAAUCAGGAGAGAAAAUAAGAUUUUGUUUUAUGAAGAUUACAAAGUUGUUUGAGGCGGGGGAGAAGAGUGAACAAGACAGAGCCAGUUACAGGCCGUUCUAACCAUCAAAUUUCUCAUGUUGUGUCUAAGUGCUCAAUAAUACGCAGAGAUUGUUUGUGUUUUAUUGAUGCUGGUGCUCGGGCCUCGACUGCGUACUUCUGCAGCAAGGACAGCUGUUGCUUCCACAGCGGCUGCUGGUCCUCAGGUUGGCCUCCUGCUUGUUCAGCCAGCGGCCAGGCACCUGUCUCCUUGGGCUGCAGAUCCGUAUCCUGGGUUUAUACUGCUUACCCUUGUAGAAUUUCUUGAUGUUCUCUUUCUGCGUCUGGUUGAUGCUGGUGAGAACACAGGUGAUGGGUUUGUGAACAGCUCUGUUCCUGGAGAGCUUGGCAGCGGCCCUCCUGUCACUUCAUUGAGGCGUAGCUGGACAGCCCCACCUUCAAGUCUUCCUGCUGUUGACGCAGCUCCUUUUUCUUCUUGCCAGGAGGGUCUGGAGCCUUCAUCUUGACCAUGGCUAUAUAAUUCACCACCGCCUAGGGACUGAGGCCGAGGGCCAUGUGAAUUCUUUUUAAAAUAAAUUUUAAAGUAAAAUGUGAAAGCAAUGCAAGGCUUCUCUGUGACAAUUUAGGGAUGUGGAAGUGACAGAGAAAAAACUACCCUGAUCCCAAUGUGCAGAGGUGACCUCUCCAAAAUUCUGCCCUUUCCCCUGCCCCAGGCUGCGUCCCUGAACCUGAGCAUAGACAGCACUCAGCAUGAAAGAGUAGACAUGGAUUUCCAGGCGUGUCAGGCCAUUUUUAGAACUGUGAUCUUUACAGAGUGACUCCGA